GUCUAUGGCCAUACCACCCUGAAUCUCAUCCGAUCUUGGAAAUCAAGCAGGGUCGGGCCUGGUUAGUACUUAGAUGGGAGAAAAUUCUCCAUCUCCUGUCUAUAAAUUUGUUUGUAGUUUAGACU
ensembl:rRNA 5S_rRNA 5S ribosomal RNA